rnacentral:rRNA from 1 species
GAUGAACGCUAGCGGGAGGCUUAAUACAUGCAAGUCGAGCGGUAAGGUUUUCGGACCCUAGAGCGGCGAACGGGUGAGUAACGCGUACGAAACCUACCUUUAAGAGAGGAAUAGCCCUGGGAAACUGGGAGUAAUGCCUCAUAGUAUUCAUUUACCGCAUGGUUUAUGGAUUAAAGUUCCAACGGUAUAAGAUGAGCAUGCGUCCCAUUAGUUAGUUGGUAAGUAACGGCUUACCAAGACGAUGAUGGGUAGGGGUCCUGAGAGGGAGAUCCCCCCANACUGGUACUGAGACACGGACCAGACUCCUACGGGAGGCAGCAGUGAGGAAUAUUGGUCAAUGGUCGCAAGACUGAACCAGCCAUGCCGCGUGCAGGAAGACGGUCCUAUGGAUUGUAAAACUGCUUUUAUACAGGAAGAAACCCUCCCACGUGUGGGAGCUUGACGGUACUGUAGGAAUAAGGAUCGGCU